UAAGCUCCAAACUCUUCGAUUUUGGCCAGGCACGGUACUCCACUCCAUAGCUGGCGUUGUCGAUUCGUAUCCGUGAUUAUGAGCCCGAAAAAUACGGACGUCAUUACGGUCGAUCUCUAGCUUGCGUUGUCGAUUCUUAUUCAGCUAGAUUAAGCGCCGCAGAGAAACACAAACAGCACGCAGCAGCCCCAACGUACGCCCCCAGCUUCCUCGCAUCUCUUCUCACUCGCUGGCCGAUUCCGGCCGGCUCCGGCAAGAUCUCGCGCUGCUGAGCCCCUCGCCAGCACCACAUCCUCCAUCCCAACCGAAUGCAUGGCGUAGAACCGUGAUCUACCGCCCCCGACGAACCCUAGCCCGGGCGCUCGAAUCCGGCUACCCAACUCCCGAUGCCCGGCAGGAACGCCGCCCUGGAGCCCCUCCUGCGCAUCCCCUCCUCCGGUGGGAACGAGCAUCGCGAGGCAACAAUGCGGCUCGGCGACGGCCGCGGCCGGCGAGAGGAGCGGGCCCGGCAGAAGCUCGACGCGGCGCAUGACUGGGACGGCGACGGUCCCCGACCUCCUGCCAGCGGCACCACCCGAACAUGCGGCUGACGGCCACCUCCCCAACAACUACUGCCGGAGCCACAUUGAUCCGGUGACGUCGGUGCGGAGCGGCAUGUUACCAGUGAGGCCCGUGUGUAGCAGCGGGACAAUGGGGAGGUCCUCAUGUCACUGGCACCACCAUCCAAGAAGAGCUCGAAGAAGCUGAAGAACCUGUUGCAAACAAUAAGCCAGUCAAACUUCAAUGUCGAUGAGAUAAUGACAGUGGCAAAGACCCAAAAAGAAAACCAUUGAGUCAAAUCAGUUGUGAAGCUCGUAAGUAUAUUUUUCAUCGUACAUCAAGAUGUCCUUUUGUUAGGUCUGAUUCAGCAGCAAGUGGAUAUUCUCCAAGGGAGCAAAUCUGCGAGUCCUUAUUUUUUACCUGUCCUUUCAUCAUCAAGUCUUUGUACUGAAUCAGUUCAUUGAAUAUUAUAAGCUAAUUACUUUUAUUUGGUUUAGUCUUCCAGUGGAAAAUUGCAACAAUACAUGGAGGGAAUCUCGGUCUACCUGACCUCAACUUCUCUCCGGCCAAUCCCUAUUCCUCCAUCAACUUAUACGUACUUGUCUUCAAUCCUCUGUGCUCACGCCUGGGAGAUCCCUUCUGCUCUAAUUUGGAGCAGGUCCAGGAGGACGAUCAUGGGGAAGAUGGGGAAACAACAUGUUCACGAGGAGCCGCUGGCUAGCAUGUUCACGAGGAGCUGCUGACUAGCAUGUUCACGAGGAGCCGCUGAUGUUGUUGUUCGACUCCAUUCCAAACUGCGGAGCUGCUAGGAGUGGACGACGCAUAAGGGAACAUCCUGGCCACCAUGAGUAGGCCAGUUUGAUCUCAACCGCCAGAUUGGAGGUGUGACUGGUGGAACUCUGUAGUGAGGUGAUAAGAUGAAGUGGAAAAUUGUGGUGAGGCAACUAUUGAAACUGUAAGAUUGAUAGCACAUCAUGUCAUGCUCCAUUUUUGCCGGCUAAAUUUUGGUGAGGGAACUCUGUUGUGACUCAUUAGUAAUUCAUGCUCCAUUUUUGCUGGCUAAAUUGUGGUGAGGCAACUAUUAAAAAUUGUGGUUAGGGAACUCUGUUGUGACUAAAUUUUGCUUUUCUUUUAGCAUAAUAUUGCACUCUGAUGAUGAUUAUAUUGUCAUGUCAAUGAUCCCAGGACUCUAGGUACAAGGCCACUAAUUUCGUACCUGGUGGCUCACACUCUAACUUGCUCAUGCUUGGGUUUACGAAAAUUCUUACAUUUAAUUGAUUUGGAAUUUCUGAGUGAACUUAUCACUUGCCUUAAGAAGCUUCCUGGGUAUACAAACCAUCGAGGCGAACUUAUCUCUUUGUCAGAACGUCUGCAAUGUUGCAUAGUUUCUUUUUAAGUCAGGAGGAUCAGUUUUGAUGCUUUGUAUGUAGACCUGCAGGGCUACUUUGUGUAACUUUUUAAGGUAUUUACAUGACAGGUUUGGAAAUCAUCCAUAUGGUUAAUGGUGCCAAAUUAAUGGUUGCACACUUGCGCUAAAUCCUAUACAGUUUUGCACCAUAAAUCUCAUGCAACAGUCAAAACUUAUCCAAUCAACUUGUAUGUAUUUAGAUGAUUGAGUCUUUAGCCAGACAUACUUCCUUCAACUUCUAUGUAUUUAGACGGCCAAACAUGUUUUUGUUUCCUCCAAGAUGCUAUUGCACGAGGAGAUAAGGAUUCACCUCUGAUGACUCCGCCGCCGGGCCCAUGAUUCCUCUGAUGCCGCCGGAGAGGGUGCCCCUAUCCUCCCCGUUGCCGCCGGCAUCCUGCUGCUAGGCCAGGUUAUGGACUUUCUUGAGCACGAGGUGGCCAGAAGGGACAAGUGCAAAGUUUCUUGAUGUGCUUCACUGUCCUUUAGUAAAGUCAAUAUUUGUUUGCAUUUCAAUCACAAACUGGAUCAAGUUUCUCCUAUACUACGUGUGUCCAUUGGCUGCUCUUGAUGUUAGCUUUAUCUAAGUACAGAAUCUGAUGUGACAUGCAAAGCAGAGCAAACUUGUGUAUUGUGGGGUUAUUUAUCCUCAGAUCCGUAGGUUGUGUCCUCCUCUUAUAUUAACACUUUUGUUGUAUAUUUGCAUGAUAAGAUAAUGCAGUGCCCACAAGCUGAGUUCAUGGAUAAAUGGAGUUUUUUUUCAUGUGGUUCUUUGUCUAGAAGCUUGUUCUUAGAUCUUGUUCAGUACUUAGCUUCCUUAAGUAUGUACUAGUGAUUUCCUUAUUUUGUUAGUAUUAUUGGACUUGCCAGUUUCUCUAGAACGGAAGUAUACAAGGUGCUUCCAUGUGUUUGUAGUUACAUAUGCUCAAUGACAAUUAGCUAAAGUUAUUCACGAUUCUUACUUCUAUAUGUGCAGUUGGAGAGGGAUCAAAGGCGGAGUGGACAACCCCAGUGACGAGAUGGCUUAGAUCCAGGGAAGUAAUAGAAGUUAACCAUUUUGGACUACUUCAUCUUUUAUAGUCUAUAGAGUGAUGUACUAAAAUACCUGCUGGAGUCUACAUUUUUCUUCAUGUCAUCAACUUUUAUAGCUGGCAGCUCCUACAAGACCUGGUACUCUACUUGUCGCAGAUCAGCUUUGACUACUUCAUGCACAAAAUUAACCAUGCCUUAACCACGUCCACGGUGGCCUCUUCAUCCUCUCCACGGUUUAGGCUACCUGCAAAUGGAAGAUACACCUUCAGAUUUGAGCACCCAUGGGAGGCGACCACAUCGCUGUUCUCGCUGGCACCGACACCGCCAUGGUCGAGCCUCUUGGCCACAUGGACCAGCAAGCUGAUAGGCUUGCGAUCAAGUGAUUGAACCUGUGCACAAGAAGGCGUUUUGGCUGGUGAAAAUCUGCGAGGAAGAUGGAGAUGCCUGAUACUGUAUGCAUGGUGUAUUAUUAAUUUGUGUAGUCGUUUUUGGAUGUUGAUGGGUUGAAGAGCAAGUCUAGUUAGCUAGAUGUGCACUUUCUUCGCUAAUUGACAUAUUAUCUGUUUACAUGUUCAUAUAUAUACAUAUAAGACAGAUGAAUAUGACAUUUGAGCAUGAUGCAUGUAUGUAUGAAUGAUUAUGUUUUAUGCAUGUUUGUGUGCAUGGGUUUUGAACCUGCUUAUUUUGAUCACAAAA